UCAGACGAUGCGUCAUGCAUAUCAAUAAGCGGAGGAAAAGAAACUAACAAGGAUUCCCUUAGUAACGGCGAGUGAAGCGGGAAGAGCUCAAAUUUGAAAUCUUCAAGGUUUUACCUUGACGAAUUGUAGUUUAAAGAAGUGUUUUCUGUUGAAGUUUAGGUAAAAGUUCUUUGGAAUAGGACAUCAUAGAGGGUGAGAAUCCCGUAUUUGACCAUUAUUUUCAGCUGUGUGAUACACUUUCAAAGAGUCGGAUUGUUUGGGAAUGCAGUCCAAAAUGGGUGGUAAAUUUCAUCUAAAGCUAAAUACUGGCGAGAGACCGAUAGCGAACGAGUACCGUGAGGGAAAGAUGAAAAGAACUUUGAAAAGAGAGUUAAACAGUACGUGAAAUUGUCAAAAGGGAAGCGUUUGACACCAGUGUUGUUUUCUCGAAAAUCAAUUAAAAAGAGUUGGAUUUUGUGUUGUAUUGACCUUAACAGCUUGCUUCACUCUUUUCCUGCUUUUUUUAAUGCACUUUUCGUUUAACAAGUCAACAUCAGUUUCUUUUGUUGUAAAAGGGUCAUUGGAAGGUGGCUUUCUCUUCGGAGAAAGUGUUUAUAGCCUUUGAUCUCUGCAAUCGGAGAGACUGAGGUCUGCAGCGUAGAUCCUUCGGGGUUAGAUACAUUUGUGCUAAGUUAUAGCCUUUCAUAGACAACUUGUUGACUAUGAUUAGUCAUUGUAGCUUACUCGCUUAUGCUAUUUUACCUACGCUUAGGAUGUUGAUAUGCAUGACUGAUAU
rnacentral:rRNA from 1 species